rnacentral:misc_RNA from 1 species
GGAUGAAGAACGCAGCGAAAUGCGAUACGUAAUGUGAAUUGCAGAAUUCAGUGAAUCAUCGAAUCUUUGAACGCAUAUUGCGCUCUCUGGUAUUCCGGAGAGCAUGCUUGUUUGAGUAUCAGUAAACACCUCAACUUCCAUAUCUUUUUUGAAAUGGGAGUUGGACUUGAGUGAUCCCAACGCUUUUCCUCACCGAAAAGUGGCGGGUUACUUGAAAUGCAGGUGCAGCUGGACUUUUCUCUGAGCUAUAAGCAUAUCUAUUUAGUCUGCCUAAAAAACAGAUUAUUACCUUUGCUGCAGCUAACAUAAAGGAGAUUAGUUCUUGUGCUGACUGAUGCAGGAUUCACAAAGACAGGCUUCGGCCGACUUUGUAAACUCGAUCUCAAAUCAAGUAAGACUACCCGCUGAACUUAAGCAUAUCAAUAAGCGAAGGA